UGUGAAAGCCAGUGUUGCCAUCACCUCCUCAAAAGCAGAGCAAAAUAGGGUUGUAGCACUGUUACCAGGCCGUUUGGCAGGUUUGUUCCCACUUCUUCCCCGUGCAGCACAGUACAUUCGGGAAUCGGGUUUCUAAAUAUAAACAAAACUCGAUGGCGUAUGGAAAGUUUAACAUUCAUAUAUAUAUAUAUAUAUAUAUAUAUCUAUAUAUUUAAAUAAAAGAGCACGAAUAAAAACAGCGAGAGAGAGAGAGAGAGAGAGAGAGGGUUUGGUGAAGAAAUACUUAAGUUCCAUGUGUCUGUUUGAUUUCACUCAUUCAACCCUAAUCUCGACAGUAGCAAUGGAACUCACCUAACCCCAAGUGUCGUGGGCUUGGUUACCGGGAUUCCAACGCCUCACAUUGAAGAAGAAUUUGCGAUCAACUGGCGACUGUAGUGUAUGCAGCAUUGGAUAUGCAUUGUACUACACCA
rnacentral:lncRNA from 1 species